UACGGAGGGUGCAAGCGUUAAUCGGAAUUACUGGGCGUAAAGCGCACGUAGGUGGUUUGUUAAGCCAGCUGUGAAAUCCCCGGGCUCAACCUGGGCACUGCAGUUGGAACUGGCAAGCUAGAGUAGGGUAGAGGGGUGUGGAAUUCCAGGUGUAGCGGUGAAAUGCGUAGAUAUCUGGAGGAACACCGGUGGCGAAGGCGGCAUCCUGGACCGGUAUUGACGCUGAGGCGCGAAAGCCAGGGGAGCAAACGGG
rnacentral:rRNA from 1 species